rnacentral:rRNA from 1 species
UGUCCUACGGGAGGCAGCAGUGGGGAAUAUUGCACAAUGGGCGAAAGCCUGAUGCAGCAACGCCGCGUGAAGGAAGACGGUUUUCGGAUUGUAAACUUCUGUUCUUAGUGAAGAAUAAUGACGGUAACUAAGGAGCAAGCCACGGCUAACUACGUGCCAGCAGCCGCGGUAAUACGUAGGUGGCAAGCGUUGUCCGGAAUUACUGGGUGUAAAGGGAGCGUAGGCGGGAAGCCAAGUCAGCUGUGAAAACUACGGGCUUAACCUGUAGACUGCAGUUGAAACUGGCUUUCUUGAGUGAAGUAGAG